rnacentral:rRNA from 1 species
UACGUAGGCAGCAAGCGUUGUUCGGAUUUACUGGGCGUAAAGGGCGCGUAGGCGGCCACCGCAAGUCGACUGUGAAAUCUCCGGGCUUAACCCGGAAAGGUCAGCCGAUACUGCGGGGCUAGAGUGCAGAAGGGGCAACUGGAAUUCUCGGUGUAGCGGUGAAAUGCGUAGAUAUCGAGAGGAACACCUGCGGCGAAGGCGGGUUGCUGGGCUGACACUGACGCUGAGGCGCGAAAGCUAGGGGAGCGAACGGG